rnacentral:rRNA from 1 species
UACGUAGGGGGCAAGCGUUAUCCGGAAUUACUGGGUGUAAAGGGAGCGUAGACGGUAAUGUAAGUCUGGAGUGAAAGGCGGGGGCCCAACCCCCGGACUGCUCUGGAAACUGGUAGACUUGAGUGCAGGAGAGGAGAGUGGAAUUCCAUGUGUAGCGGUGAAAUGCGUAGAUAUAUGGAGGAACACCGGUGGCGAAAGCGGCUCUCUGGCCUGUAACUGACACUGAGGCUCGAAAGCGUGGGGAGCAAACAGG